GACGAACGCUGGCGGCGUGCUUAACACAUGCAAGUCGAACGAAGAGCGAUGGAAGCUUGCUUCUACAAUCUUAGUGGCGAACGGGUGAGUAACGCGUAAUCAACCUGCCCUUCAGAGGGGGACAACAGUUGGAAACGACUGCUAAUACCGCAUACGAUUAAUCUCGGCAUCGAGGAUGGAUGAAAGGUGGCCUCUACAUGUAAGCUAUCACUGAAGGAGGGGAUUGCGUCUGAUUAGCUAGUUGGAGGGGUAACGGCCCACCAAGGCGAUGAUCAGUAGCCGGUCUGAGAGGAUGAACGGCCACAUUGGGACUGAGACACGGCCCAGACUCCUACGGGAGGCAGCAGUGGGGAAUCUUCCGCAAUGGACGAAAGUCUGACGGAGCAACGCCGCGUGAGUGACUACGGC
rnacentral:rRNA from 1 species